rnacentral:rRNA from 1 species
ACCCCUACGGGGGGCAGCAGUGGGGAAUAUUGCACAAUGGGCGCAAGCCUGAUGCAGCCAUGCCGCGUGUAUGAAGAAGGCCUUCGGGUUGUAAAGUACUUUCAGCAGUGAGGAAGGUAUCGUAGUUAAUAGCUGCGGUAUUUGACGUUAGCUGCAGAAGAAGCACCGGCUAACUCCGUGCCAGCAGCCGCGGUAA